CAGUCGCCGCGGGAAUACGAAGGGGGCUAGCGUUGCUCGGAAUCACUGGGCGUAAAGGGUGCGUAGGCGGGUCUUUAAGUCAGGGGUGAAAUCCUGGAGCUCAACUCCAGAACUGCCUUUGAUACUGAAGAUCUUGAGUUCGGGAGAGGUGAGUGGAACUGCGAGUGUAGAGGUGAAAUUCGUAGAUAUUCGCAAGAACACCAGUGGCGAAGGCGGCUCACUGGCCCGAUACUGACGCUGAGGCACGAAAGCGUGGGGAGCAAACAGGAUUAGAUACCCGCGUAGUCCCUGUCUCUUAUCC
rnacentral:rRNA from 1 species